rnacentral:lncRNA from 1 species
GCUAGGAGCAGCUUGAUAUUCAUAACUGAUCACAGAAAUUUAAUGCAGGCAUCUUGACGUGACACCUUUAAAAGCAUCAUGUUCUGCUAUGUGAGAAAGUGGAUAACAACACAAGAAUACCAGAUGUUGAUCUUGCUACAGUUAAUUCAUUUGCAUAUAUAACCAGACCAGCAGUCCUGAUUACAAGGCAGGAAAAUGAUGAAUAUUCAUUAAAAUCAACUUGAAACUGCAAAACUCAGGAAAACUAGAGAACUGACACCAAGUCCGGAACAACUUCUGAGAGGCAUAUAUAUCUUCCAGCGGGGCCAAGGGUGGUGGGUGGCGCGUAGGUUCCACGGCAGCCGAUCGCCUGUGAUAGGCGAUCGCUUCCGCUUGGAUCCUCCCUACUGUCUUAUUGCGCGAGAUGCUAACGAAAUUUUCAAAAAAAGUUUCGUUAACAUUUAUUGGAUUGUAUGUGUGAUUUGAAAUACAUGACGCUACAAAAGAGUUGUAGUACAAUAGAAA